AUAACAUUAAUUUGUCAAAUUAAAAUUAUUAUUAAUAUCUUUUA
rnacentral:tRNA from 1 species